rnacentral:lncRNA from 1 species
UGGUGUACCGGUACACAAACCCGUGUACCGGUACACAGUGCAGAGUGGGCUGUUUUCGUAGAGGGGUGUUUUUGCAAUUGUUGCAACCGCUUUAUAAACAACCCCAGCCCCUUUGAGAGCUCCUUUGAGCCCUAAACCUGAGGAGACAAGGUAAGAACUCCCUCUCUUGAGUUCUCUUCCAUUUUUGAUGGAUUUUGGUGGGUUUUGAUCUUCUCCUCCUUGCUUUUCUUGCUUCUUUUUGGGUUUCCUCCAUGAGAGAAGACUUGAGCUCGGGAUUGGAGCCUUGUGGAGGGAAAAUCUUCAACCCCAUUUGGAUUGGGGCCUAGUUUGGAGCUUCUAAGAGGUUAGUAACUAGAUCCUUUCCUCUAGAUCUAGUUUUUGUUGGAUUUUACUAGAUCAAACCCUAGAUUUUGGAUUUUAGGGUUAAAUUUGGGGAUUUUCGUUUUGAGGGCUUUUGUACCAAAUUGAUGGGUUUAGAACCUUUGUUUAGGUUAGAUUGGAAGGACUCUAGCUCCCAUUUGGAGAUUGUGAGAGCUUCCUUCGCAAUCGGUGAGUUUUUCGUCUACCCUAGCCCUAUAUGCUUAAUGAUUGAACUUAGCGUCGUUCGUUUCGACUAGAUGACACUUGUUCUUGUACCUUUAGGGUACUAGGAGUGUGGUGGACGCCUUCGUCGUGACAAACGAGAGCCUUCGUUGACGACGGUGGGUUUGGCUUCCUUGAAAUCGGAGGAAAUUCCUCCUAAGUGGUUAAAUGCUUUCAUUCUCUUCAAAUUCAGGCAUAUUCAUGUUUAGUAGCAUUUAUGGGAAUUUUGAAUGCUUGGAACUCAUAUGUUAUGCAUCAAGAAAGUUACUCUAUAUAGUAGAGAGACAAAUGUGCUUUGUUAAUAUGCAUGCGACGAAUAUUCUAUGAGAUGAUAGGAAAUAAAGUUUCAUGCUUCGAUUUUGACUAGAAAUUAUAAGUUCUUGAACUUAGUAUCCAUGUUGGGACAAAAUGAGCCAUAGUGUCAUAAAGAGGCACUUGGACUAGAGAAUUAUUAAACUGCAACAUAGAGACUUGAUAAUAGGCCACAUUGACAUCAACUAUAUUCCAUAUUUGAGAUAUGAUGAAAUAGUGACUUGGCCACGAGGACAUUUGCUAUAUACCAUGUUACUGAACAUGAGAAUUUGGUACUUGCGACUGAUCGUUUGAUUACUUGCCAUUGUGCUCAUUCGCACAUGCUUGUGAGGGUCGCUCCCUACAAGCCGGCACUCCGGAGAUGGCCAUCGCGAUACAUAUUCGCCGUGCGGGAUUGGGCGCCGAAGUGGAUUGCCGUGGGCCAGGCUCACUCCUAGGGUGGGGGUGUUGACUACCACGGGGCCAUUAGGCUCGGCACCGGCCAGACAGCCUUCGGGUGGGUCUCAGGGCCAUAGACGGCCUUCGGGUGGGUCUCUUCAGAUUUGACUUGAGCAUUCAUCAUGACAUGUGGACAGAUACUGACUUAGAGUAUUACUUGGACUUUGACUAGAAUAGUAAACAACGGAUCUUUACUAUUUCGCAUUGUGAACAUUAUGAUAGUUGGAGACUUUUACUUCAUGCAUAGUUGUUU